GUCAAAAACCCUCCCCCUGGCGCUUGCUAAAAUGGGAACAAUACUGAGAAUAUUGACGUGCCCCCCUGUGCAAGGAUGACAUGUAAGUUUGUGAAAUAUUCCCAAUUUUU